rnacentral:rRNA from 1 species
GCUUGUCUCAAAGAUUAAGCCAUGCAUGUCUAAGUAUAAAUGGUAUACAGUGAAACUGCGAAUGGCUCAUUAAAACAGUUAUAGUUUAUUUGGUAAUCGAAUUUACAUGGAUAACCGUGGUAAUUCUAGUGCUAAUACAUGCAACGAUCCCCGACUUUUGAAGGGGAGUAUUUAUUAGAUUAAAAAACCAAUCGUAGCGAUACGUUUUUUGGUGAAUCAUGAUAACUUUUCGAAUCGCACGACAUUGUUGGCGAUGGUUCAAUCAAAUUUCUGCCCUAUCACCUUUCGAUGGUAGUAUAGAGGACUACCAUGGGUAUAACGGGUAACGGAGAAUUAGGGUUCGAUUCCGGAGAGGGAGCCUGAGAAACGGCUACCACAUCCAAGGAAGGCAGCAGG